rnacentral:lncRNA from 1 species
UGCAGCCCUACCUCUCUUCCUAGGUCGAUUUCUCCUCCGAAACGCAUAUGUGGCACUCCUUGGCGAAGCCGUGCUGAGAUAACACCACCACCACCGCCACCACACCAUUGUGGUGACGGAUAACUCAUCUACCACUUCACCCACGUUCGAUGGAUCGAGGUGGUGAAGGCAUCAUCGGGCUAUACGCGUGCGGAACGCGGAGGUGCCGUCCGUUCGGCACUUGAUGAGGACGUUCAUGAUUGGAUCGGGGGACAAAUCAUGAUUGGAUCGCGAAGAUGUUUGACUAUAUCAACCGCGUUUCUCAGCGCUUCCGCUUAGUGAUCUACAAGGGUAUGUAG